rnacentral:rRNA from 1 species
CCUACGGGUGGCAGCAGUGAGGAAUAUUGGUCAAUGGGCGGGAGCCUGAACCAGCCAAGUCGCGUGAAUGCAGAAGGUACUUAGUAUUGUAAGCUUCUUUUGUCGGGGAACAAGGGCGGAGACGCGUCACCUGAUGAGUUUACCCUAAGGAAAAGCGUCGGCUACUUCCGCGCCAGCAGCCGCGGUAAGAUGGGGGAUGCGAGCGUUAUCCGGAUUUGUUGGGUUAAAGGGGUGCGCAGCCGUGGAAUGAAGUUGGCGGUAAAAUGUCGGGGCUAACCCCCGACCGGCAGUUGAGACUGGUUUUCUAGAGUUGGAGAGAGGUAUGUGGAAGUCGUGGUGUAGCGGUGAAAUGCGUAGAGAUGACGAGGAACUCCGGUGGCGAAGGCGGCCCCCCGG